GCUGAAUGAAAAAGGUUAUUGGAGAAUUCUGUUCGUGCGCACAGAAUUACCCAAUGGCUUGAAAGAUAAAAUACAUUUAAACAUUAAGUCUUAAAAUAGAUUUUAAUUAAAAAAAUUAAAUAACAAUUCCUUACACAUGCCUAAAAUUUAAGAAGGUUAAUAUUUGUUCUAAAUUCAACAGGCUUACUUUCAUAAUUUUUACAUGUACUGCCUUGUACUUUUACACUUUUACACAAUUGAAGUUUCCCUUUAAAAUAAUUGUGCACAAAGUUUCUAAAAAGUUUUAAACGUUUUAACUGUAUUUGAUAUUACGCUCUAUCUAAUUUAUCACACUUAACAAGUAAAGAAAGUUAUUGAUAAGAAUUAUAUUCAGAAAUUAGAAUUUUGUACAUGUUAACAGCAUAUUAUUACAGAUGCCAUACAUUUUGGUACGCGGUAAUCUUGCAUCAUAUGGUCAUAGAUAUCCAUGGAGGGUUUUAGUGUCAGGUCUUAAAGCAUCAGAUAUAGAACAAUUGACUCGGUUUGCUUGUGGGGGAUAUUGCGAUGACUCGACAAUAGUAUACUUACAACAUCCUUGUGUAAUAUUAACUGCUUUAGAGGUGCUUGGUUACAAAGUUGUUGCAUCUUCAAGUACCAGUGUUAAACAAGACUAUAAUGAAUAUAUGUGGACUAUGAGGAAAGAUUUUUCCGAACCUGAACCUGAAUCUGUUAUUAAAGCAGUAAAAGACAACGAAGUCUAACAACCCCUUUAGCCGAACAAUGUCGCAAUCAGGGAAUGCGUCGCAAUCAGUGAUCGGAAAAUUAGUGAACGCAAUGAACGACGAGAAUUACUAUUACGUUGGAGUAAGGGCUUCCCCUUUCGCGACUGAUUGUGUUGUCUUUGGCUUAAAUUCAGAUGAAAUUUUGGCUCUGUCCAAACGCUUUCCAAUGAGUCAUACCGUGGUGAAUGGUGUUUUAAUCAGUGGAAACUGUAGAAACGGAGCUUCAUACUCAACAGUAAAUACUUACGUAUGCGAUGUACUCCCGCUGGUAGCAAAAUGAACCGAUGAGAAGUUCAUUACGUGACAAACAAAGAUGCUGUUGUAUCGUGACUGAGCACCCUUUUCCAUCAUUAACGCCCUGGCAGUAUUAGGUUAUCGAGUUGUUUGUUGCACAGGAGAAGCUGAGAUACUUUGGACGCUGCAAAGAGAACUGUAAAAUCAUCGAUUAUUUUAAAGUUUAAAAUUUGGCAGCAAACCACGUAAAUUUUGGAAAUUAAAAGAUGCGUGCGGAUACCAUAAAUUUGUAUAGUGAACAGACCGCCGUUCGAAGCGCAGUGUGUUUACUUGUUCAUUACCAAUUUCCGGUAGAUAUUUCUUUAACUUCCUUCUAAAACAUAUACCCAAGUACUAAUGGUCUGAUCGACCAAAAUUGAAACCGCAAUGCGCGUGCGCAAGCAGUCACAUGGUCGAACGGAAAUUCUGUCUGAGUCUUCAUCAAUUUGAUCAAUCUUUUCCCAAGUUCUUUUCAUUUUUAAAUAACUGUUAAGCGACACUUGGUCUUGGUCUGAAAAUCGAUCGGUCAAACUGUACCUUUUAACGAACGAAGAUAUAUAUAUAUAUAUAUAUACAAAGUGAUUUAUGAUAAACAUUUUUACCGAUUUUUAUAAAUUCGUAAAAAGCCGCGUUUAACGGUAAAUUAAAUCAUUUUGUACUGUUUUAUACUUAAACUAUUAUCGAUUAUGACUGUUUCUGUUUCGUUAUUUGGAUACGAGUCGCAGUAUGUCGGGAAUUGUUUUCAAUUUUUUAUAACAAUUACCAACAAUGAUAAGACUGUACGGGGUACAACUUUUUGAAAUUCUCUGUAUACUCUGUCAAUGAAAUAGUCCGUUGCAACCGUUAAUUUAUUCAGCCAAUAAUAUUGCAUGAAAGCAAUUAUUAAAAGGAGAAUGAUCUAUGCAUAAAAUGGUAACAAUUAUAAAAAUAACAGAAAUUCAAAAUUACAUUUCUGUUAAUGUUUAUUAGAAACUCUGAAUUAUAUUUAAAAAGAGUUUUGUAUAAUAUAUAACCCGCGUUGAUUUUGUUUACAUACAACAUUCUGUAGUCUUCUAUAUACAGAUGCUUUUUGUAACAAAAAUGUUAUAUUCCGUAUUAUUAUUGUUAUUUUUUAAGUAUGUAUUUGUAAUUCUUGUGUUAAUGUAAAGUGUAUGGAAUCAAAACUAUUGUUAAUAUUACGCAAUAUGAUUAAGAAAUUUAUAUUGCAGCUAGCAUUUAUUAUAUUAAUUUUUAAAAUGAUUAAACAGUAUUUGAUAGUGCAGUAUCAUGCUUUGCUAAUAUGAAACUAUUUAUAGCGAAUACAUCAAAAGUUCUGUUUAUUCUAACAUAAAUAUAAUAUUAUAUAAAGGCCGAUUUUGUGUAACGGCCUUAUUUUCGUAAGCAAAUUCAAUAUUCUUACAGGUUAUAAAAUUGUACACACAUAUAUACACAGUAUAAACAAAACACACCUUUUAUAUAUUGUGAAGGAAUACCAUUUAACAAAAUAUAUGACAUACCACAAUUAUUAAAAACCUAUUUACAGUUUCUUGUGAUUUGUUUUAUAAAUUAUUACUUUUAUUUUGAACCUAUUUAACA